AGUGAACGCUGGCGGUAGGCCUAACACAUGCAAGUCGAACGGCAGCACAGUAAGAGCUUGCUCUUACGGGUGGCGAGUGGCGGACGGGUGAGGAAUACAUCGGAAUCUACUUUUUCGUGGGGGAUAACGUAGGGAAACUUACGCUAAUACCGCAUACGACCUACGGGUGAAAGCAGGGGAUCUUCGGACCUUGCGCGAUUGAAUGAGCCGAUGUCGGAUUAGCUAGUUGGCGGGGUAAAGGCCCACCAAGGCGACGAUCCGUAGCUGGUCUGAGAGGAUGAUCAGCCACACUGGAACUGAGGCACGGUCCAGACUCCUACGGGAGGCAGCAGUGGGGAAUAUUGGACAAUGGGCGCAAGCCUGAUCCAGCCAUACCGCGUGAGUGAAGAAGGCCUUCGGGUUGUAAAGCCCUUUUGUUGGGAAAGAAAAGCAGCAGGUUAAUACCCCGAUGUUCUGACGGUACCCAAAGAAUAAGCACCGGCUAACUUCGUG
rnacentral:rRNA from 1 species